GCUGGGGGCACACGAAGUGGAUGUGGGCGUCCAACCCGCCGGCGGUGACGAUGGAGCCCUCGGCGGCCAUGGCCUCCGUACCGGGACCGAUCGCGAUAUCGACAUCGGACUGGGUAUCCGGGUUGCCGGCCUUGCCGAUGCCAUGGAUACGGCCGUCCUUAAUGCCGAUAUCGGCCUUGACCACACCCCAGUAGUCCAGGAUCAGGGCGUUGGUGACGACCAUAUCAACGACCUGGUGGCGGCUGCGCUGGCUCUGAGCCAUGCCAUCCCG
rnacentral:sRNA from 1 species